ensembl:lncRNA
GGAUGAUGGUUGCAGCAUGCAAAAAGAAAAUGAUAUCUGUUGACUACAGCAUAUGCUUUCUCACAGAUUACCUUGUGGGAGUAGCUGGACCAAACUCUAUUGGUAUUUCAAGUUUGAAAUCCCUGUUUGACCAGACAAACAUUUCAGAUGAGGUAAUAGAUGGCCUAAUCUAUUUGCAGUGUGAGAAUUUCCCUCACAUUUAUCCAAUACCAAGCCAAAUCACUGGAAAAAUUUUGGAUGGGUCCACAAGAGCACAAAGUGCAUACUUUUUGAAGAAAAACAUCUUUCAGAUGUAUGAGAAAUUGAUUGGAGCCUGUCUGGAAAACGGCAGCCACUGGACCUUGUUUGUAAGUUGCACAGAUUUUGCACUCUCUCUAGUGCAUGAUACUUUUCAGUGUCCCUCAUUAGGAAAGCUCAAGGCCCAAGCCUACCAUAUCCAUCUUUUUACAAAACAGUUUUGUGACAUACCCAAGAGGACCAUAGCCUAUAUGAAUUCAUUUGGCGAGUCGGAGGUCAGAAAAAGUGCGGUGUUGAAAAACUGGAGGUAAUUAAUUAACAUAUUUAACAUAACAUAUUUAAUUUAAUUGAAAUCAUUACCGAACGUGGUUAUUGAUUUCUCUAUAUGCUUUUUAUUUGUAAUAACUGCCAUCUCUCAGCUCAUUUGCUUCAGCAAGAGGCUGCACUGGAGAGUGGACUUUGUCACAUGUGAGCCACCCACAUCAACAGGAUGGGAACUCAUGUGGAGUGCAUGUCAUAAUGGUACUGAAAACUAUAGCUUUAACCUAUAUAAGUAAUGUUUACAUUUUUGUCUAUUCAGUUUUUAAAGCCUUAGAGGCAGGAUGGUAAAAUCUCAAUUUUUGUUGUAGAUUGAACCAUUUCAGCAGUAAUGCUUUGGCUUUGGUUGCUCUAUUUUUUUUUCUCGGGGGGUGUAAAAAAAAAACCCAUUUCUUUGUUAAUCUAAUUCUUUUUGUUCUUUUUUUUUUUUUCUUCGUCAAUUAUUAGUUUCCCCAAUCUCUCAUUGACGGUAAAACACAAGUGGAGGAGUACAACACUGAAAUCACAAAGCUCAGGUCCCGACUUUGCCACUACUUAUUUUCCUCAAUAGGUAAAGAUAAAAUUAGCCGCCUUCUUUUUCUCUAACAUUGGAAAAUGUAACUUGUACUUAAACAAAUUAUAUUUUGCAGAACGAACUAGGAAGUGCAGUCAGUGCUGGUGUGUGAUUGCAGCCAAAGACCGGGUACACUAUGACAUGUCCUUAGCCAUAUAGAUUGUUUAUAUAAUGGACUUUGUUCAUUUGUUUUUUGUUUGUUUAUUUCUUCUUCUUUUUUUUUUUUUAAUUCACAGGUGCAGUGCCAGAAAUGUGGUGCAUACAAGCACAUGCGUUGUUCAAAGUCUGUUUGUGGCAUCUGUAUCUUCUGUGAGAGUAAGUCACAAUAUACAGCUGUGGUCAAAAGUUUACAUACACUUGUAAAGAAUAGAAUAUAAUGGCUCUACCGAGUGUCCCGUUAUUUCUAAAACUCUGAUUUUUCUCUGAUAGAGUGAUUGGAACAGAUACUUCUUUGUCACAAAAAACAUUCAUGAAGUUUGGUUCUUUAAUGACUUUAUUAUGGGUUAACAGAAAAAAGUGAUCACAUCUGCUGGGUCAAAAAUAUACAUACAGCAGUGCUAAUAUUUGGUUACAUGUCCCUUAGCC